AUACCUUUGAUGUGCGUGGGGGGUUGCCGCCUUCUAGCGCCGGCUCCGGCUGGAUCGUGCCCGCCAGAGGACCUUCAAACUCUGUCGUAUAGUGUCGUCUGAGGAAACUAUCUAAUAGUUAAAACUUUCAACAACGGAUCUCUUGGCUCUGGCAUCGAUGAAGAACGCAGCGAAAUGCGAUAAGUAAUGUGAAUUGCAGAAUCUAGUGAAUCAUCGAAUCUUUGAACGCACAUUGCGCCCCUUGGUAUUCCGGGGGGCAUGCCUGUUCGAGCGUCAUUACAACCCUCCAGCUCUGCUGGGUCUUGGGCGCGACCGGCGACGGUCGGCCUCAAAAUCAGUGGCGGUGCCCGUGGGCCCUGAGCGCAGUACAUACUCAACGCUAUGGGAGCCCGCGCGGUUGCUUGCCAACAACCCCAAUUUUCUCAGGUUGACCUCGGAUCAGGUAGGGAUACCCGCUGAACUUAAGCAUAUCAAUA
rnacentral:rRNA from 1 species